rnacentral:rRNA from 1 species
AUACGGAGGAUCCGAGCGUUAUCCGGAUUUAUUGGGUUUAAAGGGUGCGCAGGCGGCCAUUUAAGUCAGCGGUUAAAUCGUGGGGCUCAACCCCAUUCUGCCGUUGAUACUGGGUGGCUUGAUUGCGGUCGAGGUUGGCGGAAUUCGUUGUGUAGCGGUGGAAUGCAUAGAUAUGACGAAGAACACCGAUUGCGUAGGCAGCUGACCAGACCGCAAAUGACGCUCAUGCACGAAAGUGCGGGGAUCGAACAGGAUUAGAUACCCUGGUAGUCCGCACAGUAAACGAUGAAUACUUGUUUUCGGCGAUAUAAUGUCGGAGGCAAAGCGAAAGCGAUAAGUAUUCCACCUGGGGAGUACGCCGGCAACGGUGAAACUUAAAGGAAUUGACGGGG